rnacentral:rRNA from 1 species
GUGGGGAAUAUUGGACAAUGGGCGCAAGCCUGAUCCAGCCAUGCCGCGUGAGUGAUGAAGGCCUUCGGGUUGUAAAGCUCUUUCGGCGGGGACGAUAAUGACGGUACCCGCAGAAGAAGCCCCGGCUAACUCCGUGCCAGCAGCCGCGGUAAUACGGAGGGGGCUAGCGUUGUUCGGAAUCACUGGGCGUAAAGCGCACGUAGGCGGCUACUCCAGUCAGAGGUGAAAGCCCGGGGCUCAACUCCGGAAUUGCCUUUGAAACUAGGUAGCUUGAACGUCGGAGAGGUAAGUGGAAUUCCGAGUGUAGAGGUGAAAUUCGUAGAUAUUCGGAAGAACACCAGUGGCGAAGGCGACUUACUGGACGACUGUUGACGCUGAGGUGCGAAAGCGUGGGGAGCAAACAGGAUUAGAUACCCUAGUAGUCC